UCCGAGUUGACCCCGGCAGUCUCCCAUGAGUCCCCACCAUCACGUGCUGGCAACAUGGAACGAGGGUUGCGCUCGUUGCGGGACUUAACCCAACAUCUCACGACACGAGCUGACGACAGCCAUGCACCACCUGUGACCCUGCCCGUGAGGGAAGCCCUGUUUCCGGGGCGGUCAGGGACAUGUCAAACCCAGGUAAGGUUCUUCGCGUUGCGUCGAAUUAAACCACAUGCUCCGCCGCUUGUGCAGGCCCCCGUCAAUUUCUUUGAGUUUUAACCUUGCGGCCGUACUCCCCAGGCGGAUAACUUAAUGCGUUAGCUGCGCCACCAAAACCCUAAGGGCCCUGACAGCUAGUUAUCAUCGUUUACGGCGUGGACUAC
rnacentral:misc_RNA from 1 species